rnacentral:rRNA from 1 species
AGCAGCCGCGGUAAUUCCAGCUCCAAUAGCGUAUAUUAAAGUUGUUGCAGUUAAAAAGCUCGUAGUUGAAUUUCGGGGUUAGUAGGUUGGUCAUGCCUCUAGUAUGUACUGGUCUCACUGAUUCCUCCUUCCUGAUGAACCUUAAUGCCAUUAAUUUGGUGUUUUGGGGAAUUUGGACUGUUACUUUGAAAAAAUUAGAGUGUUUAAAGCAAGCUAACGCUUGAAUACAUUAGCAUGGAAUAAUGAAAUAGGACGUUCGAUCCUAUUUUGUUGGUUUCUAGGAUUGACGUAAUGAUUAAUAGGGAUAGUUGGGGGCAUUAGUAUUCAAUUGUCAGAGGUGAAAUUCUUGGAUUUAUUGAAGACUAACUACUGCGAAAGCAUUUGCCAAGGAUGUUUUCAUUAAUCAAGAACGAAAGUUAGGGGAUCGAAGACGAUCAGAUACCGUCGUAGUCUUAACCAUAAACUAUGCCGACUAGGGAUCGGAUGAUGUUAAUUUUUUAAUGACUCA